CCUACGGUAGGCAGCAGUGGGGAAUAUUGGGCAAUGGGCGCAAGCCUGACCCAGCAACGCCGCGUGAAGGAAGAAGGCUUUCGGGUUGUAAACUUCUUUUCUCAGGGACGAAGCAAGUGACGGUACCUGAGGAAUAAGCCACGGCUAACUACGGUCCAGCAGCCGCGGUAAUACGGAGGUGGCAAGCGUUAUCCGGAUUUACUGGGGGUAAAGGGCGUGUAGGCGGGAAAGCAAGUCAGAUGUGAAAACCAUGGGCUCAACCUGUGGCCUGCAUUUGAAACUGUUUUUCUUGAGUACUGGAGAGGCAGACGGAAUUCCUAGUGUAGCGGUGAAAUGCGUAGAUAUUAGGAGGAACACCAGUGGCGAAGGCGGUCUGCUGGACAGCAACUGACGCUGAGGCGCGAAAGCGUGGGGAGCAAACAGGAUUAGAUACCCCGGUAGUC
rnacentral:rRNA from 1 species